rnacentral:lncRNA from 1 species
CACACACAGCUUUUGGAGGGGUAAAAUAGUUAGGCUAAGUGCAUGCUGCACAGAACAAAAAUUGCAUUCAAGGUUGGAAGACUUAAUUGAUGUGCGUGUAGAAAAUAUACAAAAAAAAAAAAAGUGGUGAAAAUUUUGCAAAACCAUAAAAGGGAACAUAAACCAAAUAAAACCAAUAUAAAAGUGUUGUGGCUGCAAAGACGAAAACUUAAAAACCAACCCCUGGAUAAGGUACGCCAAGAAAAAAAUGAAAAAGUGACCUUAUUACAUAAUUCCAUGUAUGUACUGUACAUAGGUUAUGAUCCACGUGUGGCAGGAAAUUGCUGACCUGGCCUGACCCUCGGUCCCGGAGGGGGGGUCCGCUCCAGUACCACGAUCAUCAGUCCUUCUUUUUGGUGCCACCGGACCUUGCCUGCAGGUUGUUGGUUCAUACAUAUAUCGAGUUGUUUAUAUAUAUAUAUCUCACGCGCAACUAUAAAACCAUCUAUUAUAUUAUAUCACCGCGCCUUGUGUAAAGAAAUGUUGGUGCUUGCAUAUGUAGGGUGUGGAAAAAUUAGCUCAGCGGUCAUUGCCCUUGCGGCUGACCAUACACCUAUGCGCACUUAAAUAGACCCACCUGACCGUAUGUCACCUAUUCUCUCCUUCUCUCAGGUUAUUAAAAUUGUUCGAUGCCGACAUUCUAAAAGCCACUUAAGGGAAGAAAAGUAAAUCACAAAAAUCUAGAAAAGAAAACUUAAUGAAAAAUUAUGGAUAGAAGAAAAAAAAUAGAAAAGAAAAUUGUUCAAUAAUAUUAAAUAUUCCUAGACAUUAACUUAGAAAUAGAAGA